GGCCAUUUGAGUGUAAGAUUUGAGAUAACAGGAAAAAAAGUCUACAUCAUCAAAAGAUUAAUGAAAAGUAAUUUUUUGUGAUUUUCUCUAGAUCCAUAGGUUCUUCACAGCCGACUGACAACACGUACUGUUUACUGCAGAACCCCAAAACAUCUGGAAGGCAUCCAAAGUGACCAGUCAGCUGUUUGUGAUGUCAGACCUGACUUUGGUUGAUGAUGUCAGUUGUUUUAUUUAAAUUGUGAACGUGUAUAAUAUUUUGACGUGUGUUUUAUGUAAAUAUUAGAUAGAUACAUUUUUUUUACAAUACAACAUCUGUUAUUUCUAGAUUCUUACCUGUUGAAACUGACCCAUUCUGCAGAAUAAAUGUUUGUACAGUUCUGUAAAACCGCAAAUAACCUGAAGCUUUUAUUUCUUUAUGUUGCAACUUCAAGCUUGUUUACGUUUGUAUUUCUCUCUUGUCACAAUGUUGUGCUGAUGCUCUGGUUGGAUUUAGACAGAAAAAAAACACUUCAUCACAUCGUGGUGAAGGCGUGGGCUGGGGCCCACUGGAGGCUGGUGGCGAAGGCGUGGGCUUGGACCCACUGGAGGCUGGUGGCGAAGGUAUGGGCCGGACCCCCCUGGAGGCCAGCGGCAAAGAUGAAGGCUGAAACUCUCUUGAGGCUGGACCGCUGGCUGGGAAACCCUCCUGGGUCUUGGCCGGACCACCGACAGAGGUUCGCUGGGAGCUGAUGAAGGGUCACUGGGAGCUGAUGAAGGGUCGCUGGCAGCAAACGACCUUGGCCGGGCCUCCGACUGAGGAGCUGGCACUGGACUUGGCCAGGCCUCCGACCAAGGAGCAGGCACUGGACUUGGCACGGGACUCGGCCGGGCCUCCGACCGAGGGGCUUGGACUGGACUCGGCCGGGCCUAUGACUGAGAAGCAGGCACAGGACUCGGCCGGGCCUCCAACCGAGGAGCAGGGACUGGACUUGGCACGGGACUCGGCCGGGCCUCCGACCGAGGGGCUUGGACUGGACUCGGCCGGGCCUCCGACCGAGGAGCAGGCACAGGACUCGGCCGGGCCUCCGACUGAGGAGCAGGCACAGGACUUGGCUGGGCCUCCGACCGAGGAGCUGGGACUGGACUCGGCCGGGCCUCCGACCGAGGAGCAGGGAUAGGUGUCAACCUGGCCGCCGACUGAAGGCCACUGGCAGGUGUCAGCCACACCAUAAGCGGAGUAAACUCGGCAAGCGCUGGCUGGGCAGUUGACAAUGGAGCUGGGGCUCCAGAGCCAGACUUCAGGGAGCCAGGACGCGGCCGAGAACGUCGCUUUCUUGGUGGGGGCACUUUGUAGGCCAGCCGGGUUCCCCAGAAAGGAGAAAUUUCAGCUGAGGCUGUAGCUGAGGCAUGGGCUGAGGCCAGAGCUGAGGCAUGGGCUUUGGCUGGUAGCUUGGCUGUGGCUUGAAUAAAAACGUUGCUAGCAGCAAUUUGACAAGCCCUGCUAGCCGGAUUUGUACCAGUCUUGGUACCAGCGAAUUGUUGCCAAGCCAUCAACUGCUGGGUCCUCUUCUGGUCUGGUCAUUCUGUCAGGUUGGGGUUUUAAGGGGAAAACCAUGGAUAAAGGAGGUGUUGGACCCAAAUGCAGUUUAACAGGAGGCAAGAUCAGGGGAAAAACAAAAAGCGAGCUUUAUUUUAAAGCUGAGCACAAAACCAAAAGCAGACAAAACGGGAAAGAGAAGCAAAGUACAAACAAAAGGACAAAGUACAAAUCAAAGGCAAAGUUCAAAUCAAAAAAAUGCAAAAUGCAAAACUCAAGUCCAAAAACACAUACCGUGUGGAGCAAGGAACAGACAGGAGUAGGCGCAAGAACAGGAGCAUGGACGCAGACAGAAGCUGACAAAUACAAUGGCCGGACAAGGAGUGAAGGGAACACAGAGACUAAAUACACAAACACUGAUGACAAGGCGAGGAACAGGUGAGGUGGACCAACAGGUGAGAUUACGAGUGGAAUGCAUGGAUGAGAACACUGACAGACAGAGGGAGACAGAGGGAAGAACAUAGGAGACACUUAAAGGACACAUGAGGGCAUGGAAAAAUCAAAACAUAAGACACAAGACAUGAUACAAAGACAUGGAAAUCAAAUACAAGAACCCACAAGACAAAACCAGACACAAGAACACAACAAACAUGAAUCUACAGUCAUGACAGAC
ensembl:lncRNA